rnacentral:rRNA from 1 species
CGGUAGGGUAUUGGCCUACCGUGGCAAUGACGGGUAACGGGGAAUUAGGGUUCGAUUCCGGAGAGGGAGCCUGAGAAACGGCUACCACAUCUAAGGAAGGCAGCAGGCGCGCAAAUUACCCAAUCCUAAUACAGGGAGGUAGUGACAAGAAAUAACAAUACAGGACUUUUUGGUUUUGUAAUUGGAAUGAGUUAAGUAUAAACCCCUUUACAAGUAUCAAUUGGAGGGCAAGUCUGGAAA